AAAACGUCAAUCUUUUCAGCUUCCUAGACGUCGGAUCCCCUGAAACACCGACGUCUAUAGACGUCGGUUUCUGGAACAACCGACGCCCCAUUUCAUUUUAAAUAGACCGCAGACUCUUCUCACCAUUCAGUUUCUGAUCUCGUCUUCAUCUCUUCUCCUUUUUCCCUGCUUCUCCUCUUCUUUUACUCGCUUGCGCACCUCUACUUUUUAUCUCUUGCGGCAUCGCAUUAUCGUUUCUCAAUAUGUUAUUGUCUUCGUCCUCUCCUUUUUCUCUCUUGCAUCCUAGGUGAGUGUUUUUUUUUAAUGNUUACCGUUUAAACUUUCUUUAGUUUUUUAUCGAUUAUCUUGUGGUUCAACUGAUUAAAAUUUGUUUUCUUUGUGUU
rnacentral:lncRNA from 1 species